UCUAAGGAGCUCCUGUUUUGCUUGUGAUCGUGGUGGUUAUGAGUGUUGUGGGGGUUUUUAGUGGUUGGCAACAUUGGAGUUGGCAUGCUGUUGGGGUGUGGGGUAACGCCUUGGCUGCCUGCGCGUGGGCCUGCUUGUGUGGUGGGUUUGUGUGUGGUGUUGGUGUGGUGGUUGAGAAUUGUAUAGUGGAUGCGAGCAUCUUUUGGUUUUUGUAAGUGUGUAAGGGCGUUCGGUGGAUGCCUUGGUACACGGAGCCGAUGAAGGACGUUGUAGCCUGCGAUAAGCCUCGGGGAGUUGGCAUACGAGCUGUGAUCCGAGGGUGUCCGAAUGGGGGAACCUGCCUGGAGUUGUUUCUGGGUACCGUCAUCUGAAUGUAUAGGGUGAUUUGGGGGUAA
rnacentral:misc_RNA from 1 species